GACGAACGCUGGCGGCGUGCCUAAUACAUGCAAGUAGAACGCUGAAGGAGGAGCUUGCUCUUCUGGAUGAGUUGCGAACGGGUGAGUAACGCGUAGGUAACCUGCCUGGUAGCGGGGGAUAACUAUUGGAAACGAUAGCUAAUACCGCAUAACAGUAGAUGUUGCAUGACAUUUACUUAAAAGGUGCAAUUGCAUCACUACCAGAUGGACCUGCGUUGUAUUAGCUAGUUGGUGGGGUAACGGCUCACCAAGGCGACGAUACAUAGCCGACCGGAGAGGGUGAUCGGCCACGCUGGGACUGAGACACGGCCCAGACUCCUACGGGAGGCAGCAGUAGGGAAUCUUCGGCAAUGGACGGAAGUCUGACCGAGCAACGCCGCGUGAGUGAAGAAGGUUUUCGGAUCGUAAAGCUCUGUUGUAAGAGAAGAACGAGUGUGAGAGUGGAAAGUUCACACUGUGACGGUAUCUUACCAGAAAGGGACGGCUAACUACGUG
rnacentral:rRNA from 1 species